rnacentral:sRNA from 1 species
GCUGGGCACCGCAGCGCACGCCUGUAAUCCCAGUGGCUCAGGAGGCUGAGGCAGGAGGAUCACGAGUUCAAAACCAGCCUCAACAAUGGUGAGGCCCUAAGCAACUCAGUGAGACCCUGUCUCUA